GACGAACGCUGGCGGCGUGCUUAACACAUGCAAGUCGAACGAAGUGGCGGACGGGUGAGUAACGCGUAAUCAACCUGCCCUUCAGAGGGGGACAACAGUUGGAAACGACUCCUAAUACCGCAUACGGAAGGAGGUGUUUGCGUCUGAUUGGCUCGUUGGGGGGGUAACGGCCCACCAAGGCGAUGAUCAGUAGCCGGGCUGGAGGGGUGAACGGCCAAAUUGGGACUGAGACACGGCCCAGACUCCUACGGGAGGCAGCAGUGGGGAAUCUUCCGAAAUGGGCGAAAGUCUGACGGAGCAACGCCGGGUGAGUGAUGAAGGCCUUCGGGGUGUAAAGCUCUGUUAAUCGGGACGCGGUACCGGAAUAGAAAGCCACGGCUAACUACGUGCCAGCCGCCGCGGUAAUUC
rnacentral:rRNA from 1 species